UUUCCGAUAACUAAUAUAAUUGA
rnacentral:snRNA from 1 species